rnacentral:lncRNA from 1 species
CAUCGUCGAUUGGUUGUUGCACCUGAUGGGAGUUUGUUGAAGGAUCUCCCAUUUGCUCAAAAAAAACAUAUCUGUUUUUGGGAAAAGGAUGAGAACUACCAUAUCCCAUGCUUUCUAUACAUAGUAAAUAUCCUUGCCUAGUAGGCUACUUAAUUCUAGCAUCCAUACUCAAAUUGAGGUAGAUACCACCUGACUGAGGUGAAUGUUUUUGUCUCUCCCACCAAGGUUUGUUGAGAAUGUUCGCCUACGUUAAAAAGUUAAGGGACUCAAUCCAAGUUUAGUUCUCCAUUAUUAAUUAAUUUUGAACCUCAACUUCCUUCAAGACUAGUAAAUUUGGGUUUCCAUCCACAUGGUAAUUAUGAUUGAUUAAUUUGGCAUCACAUAACAAGUAAUAAUUAAUUCAUUAAUUAAUUUGCAGCACAAAUCUCAUUUGUAUGCACAUGACAUGGGCUUCAUUUUCAGCGUUUUCAGCAUCAUAUGUUGGGGGGAUUGCAUUAUUUUAG